CUGAAUAUCGUGAUUGCAAUUGAAUACAUGAAAUUCUUAUGAGCCGGAUUGAAUUAAUUUCAAAUGUAGAGAUAUUCUUCGCCAUCGGCGAUUUCAUGCUCGAGUGAAUUCUGGUAAUUACGUGGAAUCUAUUUCAAGCGCGCAAGGCCUCCGUCGACGAGCAAAAUGUUAUGGUUUUCCGGUUGUAAGAAAAGGAGAUGGAAAUUACAUGAGAGAUAACAUUCAACUUGGAACAAAAGAGACAAGGAAAUUUAAGUGAUAUUCAGACACCCAGUGGUUAUCGCGGUGUAUCGAACUGUUUGUGAGUGGGAGAGAAGGACAUCGUUAAACAUCACCCAGGUUAAUUAUCUCGGUAAUUGCCCGGUGAUCUUGGAACUUACCCAAAGAGCUCGUAACCAGCAUCACAGGUGUAAGACGCUAUUGUACCAGGUGACAGAGAAUCGUCUGACAGUGAUACUUUAGAGUUCAUUGGCACCGCUGGGUGACCGCAUUUUGUUGCUGGAAUUGAAGAUAUGGGGACUUGGAUGAGCAUCUUAGCAGAAAAAAUCCCCAGAAAUUGUAUUUUGUUCUUAAACAAACACCUCCACCGGUGGCACUGCGCCACCUUCCUCGCAAUUCAAUAAACAAAGGAGGAAAGCAGAAAACGUGAACAGAGUUAAUUGAAACGGAUCUCGAAUGAGUUAUUUCUGAGGUAUACACCACAUGGGAUUUCUCAAUCCAUUGUCUCUCUAGGCAAGGUAAAAGGUGCACCACCCUCAGCAGUGCUAAAGUAUCGCUGAAACCGUUACGAAAUCGACGACGUCCGUUCGGUAUCUAUCUAACACCGGAGAGAAAGAAAAUUGUUAUGAAAUCACCGGAAUUUGCACAUUUAUAAGAGAAUACAUCCCGAAACAAGACGAGAAACAAUUUGCUGACAGACAAAAACAAGACAGGGAAACCGGUUCAGUUUCGAUCGAUUCAGCGGCAAAAGUGGUGAUUGCUUCCGGGAUAGAAGCCAACAAAAAUAUUAAUAUGUGGAGUAGCAACGGACAGUGCUGAUCAGCCCAGGAGUUACAGUAUCCAAGAGAUUCUAUAAGGUUACGCUUGCCUUAACCGUUAAUCCACCUCAAGCUGUUUCACCGUCUUUUUCUACUGCGUCCCAUAUAGAUCACCUCCUCCUCCACUGUCGCCGGACUCAUGAAACACUCGUUUCCCUCGCAGAGUCGCCUCCACCGCCUCCAUUACGAUCUGUUCCCCCGUCUGUCCCCGUCUUUUUCUACUCACUUGUUGUGAUUUCUGGUCUGUUUUAUUCUACACUGAGUUUGUUGUGCAUCAGAAAUUGUCUGACGUCAUGCCAAGCCCCUUUCACCUGAGGAAGGUACGUGCAGACGGGAGAGGAGUGAUUCUCGAUGAUGUUUAUGGGGUUUUCAGAGUCCAGAUGAUUAAUUAACGCGCGGUAAAUGGAGUCUU